CACAACAUCAUUUGCUGUUAUGUACAUCUAGGAUGCGAUCAAUCCAGAUGAGAUUCUCUCCAAUGCCAGCAAACCGACAGUGGAAGACACGAGCCAGCACUUCUCCCACCACAUUGCCUCAGGCUUUUGAGAUACCGACUUAUAACUGCUUCUCCCCCCUAUGUUGGAAUCACCGGGGCCUCCAUCGCCCGGCAUGUACACGCUACAUUAGGUGUAGGUAAGACGCACACUCACUGCUUCCCUGGUGCUUGUGUUCUCAAUGUUUCUGUGCAGGUGCCUGGGAUAAUGAAGACAAUUUGGGUUGUCGUGUUACACGCCAGGUGAACAACAUCAGAGUGCGGCAGUCAGAGAUCCUAAAGAAGGACUCCAUAUGUUUAGUCGAGACAGUACGCCGUACAUCUCUUACGACGAGGAUAUUUGUUUCAGGACCGCUUUCCCGAUACUGACAAGGACAUUUAAGCAUUUAUGUGAGCUGCAGUCUGGAUCCUGCCUCUGUCAGAUGACCUAACACAAAUGGAAAGAUGACAUCGACCCUUGCAAGGACUUCAGACGAUCCCAGCACUGGACUACAUACAGUGGUAAUCAUAUUUUCAGUAGUCCGUGUCAAAUUUUCUUUCAAGGUAAGAUAGCUUUACAUGUUUUUUAUUGUGCUUUAGUGGUCACACAGGCCCGGUUUAUGUUCUUAACCAGCAUGAGUUUAUUUAUUGUGAUAUACACAAAACAAGAUAUUUUGAUAAAUGAUGUUAAGUACACAGCUGCUCAUUUACUUCAAUAAAAUGUCUUUUUCCUAUUAUGGAAGUCAAUGGGUACCAUCAACUGUAUGAUUGACAUCAUUUAUCAGAUUAAAGAAUUUUUGGCAAGUUUAUAACAACAUGAAGUGUUUGGGUGAGAUCUAGACCGAGGACUAAGGCGUAUACUAGGACAGAACUAGGUGUUGUGGCCCACAGGUGAUCCUAAAGCAACAAAGAGGAACCAUGGAGAGGAAGAAGUAGUAUCCAGAUGUUUAAAAGGCGGUGUUCGGGACAGGAAACAAAGGCAACAAAGAGGAACCUCUAAGGUUUAAAGGCACUGCUUGCAGAGACGAGUGCAGAAAAUAAAGACAGAAGACCUGUCGAGAAUGUUUUAUGAUUAAAUGUUUUUGUUAUGUACAUGCACAUUAUUAUUUACAAUAUAUUUCUAAGAUACAUAAAUAUGUGACCUUGUAUAUGAAAUCCAGGCUACUGUCUUAAAAUCUAAUGACAUCUAAAGUUUGAAUUUACUGAUUUAACAUUGAGUUCAGUCUUUGGCAUGACCUUACUCAGUCAGUAUUGAAUAUGUCAAGAUUAUAUUUUCAGAGAAUGUUUUCUGAAUUGUGUAGGAUGAUUUUAUGUAGAAAACAGUAAGUCACAAAGAAAUACUUUGCUGGGUUUUCACAGGCCGUGUCCCAUUUGUACAACAUAUGUGAAUUAUCUUGAGACUAAAACUUCUGAAAUCCAAACUGUUAUAUUUUAGCAUUUCAAAUGCAGCCACCCUUUGCCUAGAAUUUGAAAUAUAUACCCUUGGGUUUUUUCAGUAAUUUUUUGACAUCUCACCCUGAGAUAUUUUUAAAGAAAUUUCUAUGUAUUAUGGGCUUGAAUUA